GAAUGAGCAGUCCGACGUUGAUAUCCGGAGAUCAAAGAGAAAGAGGUUGCGAAUGAGCAAUAUUUUAAUAGCAAGCCACGGUAUAAAACUGCAUUCAAAGAUACAAGAACGGUAUAGAUUUCAUGUACCAGUUGUGAGAGUUUGGCGCUAUGCUGCCUGCUGUAAGUGUAGCGGUACCAGGUGUGUGGGUAACUGGAGAAAAUAACUCUUGGCAAUUGAAGCUACAUUUACAGGCACCCCCCUUCACAACCGACAUCCCGGAGGAGCGAACAGGCACCAACCGAGGGACGAACUGCCAGCUCCCUGUACACACCCGAGACGCGAGGUCCUACCCUACUUAAGAUAAGUACCAGUGGCCGGUUCGGAAGACCAAAUAAGUGUAGGGAUGGCCGAGAUCAGGGUGUACAUAGUGAAUGACCAGGGACACAGGGGUGUGGAUAUUUAGUGCUGUUCAUUUUUUCGUUGCAGGAUUCUGUGUCCUGCUGGAGAAGAGGGAUUGAGCCUGAAGUGAGCCAAAUAACGGAAUAGGAAGGUUUUGGGUCGGUCAACUUCAGCUUUACCUUUCCUUAUUGGCGUUUCUACCGUGACAGUGUUUGACUUGGAUUAAGUGCUGGACCCUCCCCUUGUGAUUGAGAGGACCUACUAACUGAGAUUUCUAGGCCUUUUUGAGGCCCAAGUGAAUAUAUUGGAGUUAUCGUCUCAUCAAAUUGCUACAGAUGUUGUUUGGGACUGUGUUGCUGUAAAAUAUUGUAUUGAAUUGAAUACCUGUAUUAGUAUUAUCUUCCUGAAGUCACAAGUAGUCAUUUAGCAAUGUUUUAUAGUAAGGUUUUAGUGGUUUUACUUGGUGCAUAUGUUUUGGUGUUUUUAGUGAGAGUGUUUGUAUUGGGAAGAGACGGAAUAUAUAGUCACCCUGUAAGGCAGUUGUAGGGGGGAUUUUGUGAAA